AUCUACAGCCAUGCCACCCUAAACACACCUGAUCUUGUCUGAUCUCGGAAGCUAAGCAGGGUUGGGCCUGGUUAGUACUGGGAUGGGAGACCACCUAGGAAGACCUGGUGCUGUAGGUG
rnacentral:rRNA from 1 species